rnacentral:tRNA from 1 species
ACCUGGCUGGCUCAGUCGGUUGAGCGUGGGACUCUUGAUCUCAGGAUCAUGAGUUGAACCCCGUGUUGGGCA